rnacentral:rRNA from 1 species
UACAGAGGGUGCGAGCGUUAAUCGGAAUUACUGGGCGUAAAGCGCACGUAGUCGGCUUUGCAAGUCGGUUGUGAAAUCCCCGGGCUCAACCUGGGAACUGCAUCCGAGACUGCAUUGCUAGAGUAUGGGAGAGGGAAGCGGAAUUUCUGGUGUAGCAGUGAAAUGCGUAGAUAUCGGGAGGAACACCAGUGGCGAAGGCGACUACCUGGCCUGUUCUUGACGCUGAGGCGCGAAAGCUAGGGGAGCAAACGGG